GAUUUUUGCCUAGUGCUCUAAAUGUCAAAGUGAAAGUAUUUACUGAAGCUUAGGUAAAUUGAUGGGUGUAACUAUGACUCUUUUAAGGUAGCCAAAUGUCUCACCAUCUAAUUAAGGAUGUGAAUGAAUGGAU
rnacentral:ncRNA from 1 species